rnacentral:rRNA from 1 species
UACGUAGGGAGCGAGCGUUGUCCGGAAUUACUGGGUGUAAAGGGUGCGUAAGCGGGUUGGCAAGUCAGGCGUGAAAUACCGCAGCUUAACUGCGGAGCUGCGCUUGAAACUGUCGAUCUUGAGUGAAGUAGAGGCAGGCGGAAUUCCUAGUGUAGCGGUGAAAUGCGUAGAUAUUAGGAGGAACACCAGUGGCGAAGGCGGCCUGCUGGGCUUUAACUGACGCUGAGGCACGAAAGUAUGGGGAGCAAAC